rnacentral:tRNA from 1 species
GCGCGCGGUGGAAUACACUGAGACUGACUUCGAAUCCGUAGGUUCCAGGUUCGAAUCCUGGCGGGCGCG